rnacentral:snRNA from 1 species
UCAAUUACAAUGGUUGGAGUGAAUCAUUGAUCAAUCAAUACAAUCACUUAGGGUGGAGCAGAUCCUUUGAACACUGAUUUCUGUAAAGCCCUAUAGCUUCCCGCUUGGGUUGCUGACUACUAAAUUUCUGGUAGUGGGGAUGUGUGCUUGCCGCCUCCCCG